rnacentral:lncRNA from 1 species
AUAAAAUUUUAUUCUGAUAUAAUUACAAUCGUCUGCUGAUAGCACUAUAUUAUAAGAUGGAUAAUACAUGAAACUUACAUGAUUUUAUUGGGUGAAAUUUACAUACAAAAAAAGGACUAAAAAAUGAAUUUUACAUAAUUUAACGUUGUGAAUUUAAUAUACAUUUACAUGAAAACAACCAGAGCUAAAAAAUAUGAUGAAUUUAGACUGUUAAAUGUAUAUUUUAGUUACAAUUCAUGUUUUCAAUUUCUGUUGUGUUAAUGAUUCUCUGUUUUAGUAAUAGUAUUAGAAUUUAUUUGUAUAAAUUAUUCACAUUAUAAUAAUUUACAAUUAGGCAUCCAGGCCUGAGUUUAUAAGAAAAUAAGAAAGGAAAUUCAAGACAUUUUUUUGUACAAAAUAUUUCUAACUUCUACACUAAAUAUAAAAACCUUAUAAAAUGUGACAGCAGAAGAAAAGAAAAAGAAGAAUAGAGAAUUGAAAUUCAGAAGUUAUCAACUAUACAUUUUAUUACAAAUGCAACUUGUUUUUAUUUGAAUAUGCAGUUUUAAGCAUUGUGUAAUACAUUCUUGUGCAACUCAAUUUAACAAUUCUGGUCAAACUCAAUCCAGAUAGUGUACUUAGUGGAAAUCAUUCAAAUCAAGAAGUUCUAUAUAAGUUAAGUUUCAUUAAUCUUGAAAAUUUUGAAACAGUAACUUUGGUUCUGACAGCAUCUGAUAUCUUUGAUUGCAAAAAACCCAACAUUAAAACAUGUUUGGAACAUAAAAAUUAUACUAAAAGAUAUUUGCAAAAAGUUUGUUUUUUUAAUAAUAAAAAAAAGAAGACAAAUAUCAAUGUCUUAAAUAAAAGAUAAAGAUUAUUUUUGAUUCCUUUUUGUUGUUUGGACAUAAAAUCUUCUGAAAACCCUCUCCUGAAAUAGUGGGACACACAGAACAACAGUGUUUACAAUUGCAUUUCAAAAUUUCAAAAUAUGUUAUUCUUAAAUAAUUUGUGAUAGUCUGUACAAUACAAAUAGGGAUCUAACAACAAUUAUACAAAAGUUAGCUACUUAAAUUUCAACAAUAUCUAAAUACAAAAUCUUUGUAUAAAAUUUAUUGCCUUUAUGUAAUUCGUCUAACAACCAAUUGGUUAAGUAAUCAGCAAUUUACAAAUUAAAAUUCCUUAGGGUCGGAUGUGCCAGACAACCGUCAUCUUUACAUUUGACAAAAAGUGGUUAAAUGUGCAAUAUUUUUCUAUAUACAUGUUGUAUGAUGGUAAAAAAAAAAACCUUGCCAUUUUGAUUUUACCCUCUGGCCAAUUUUUUAAAAUAAAAUAUAAAAAAAUUGAUCUGUACCUAUGGGUUAACACGUCAAUAAAGUUAGCUACAUAUAAAAUAGAAGUUAAAACUAGCCCUUGAUAAUAUUCAAUUGCCUUAUUACAGGUUAACUGUUUAUAAGGUUGUGAAACUUUGAAAGAAAAAUAUUUUGAAUAUCUCCUUGGUUGACUCUUGUAUACAUUUUAUUGUGCUGAUGAUUAGCUCCAUUCCUUUACUAAUUUAUUAAAUAGAAGGCCAUAGAUAAUCUAUUUCAUGCUAAUUUCUAAGAUUAUGACAUUGGCAUUAGCUUAUGAUGUCAUCACAUUCUCUGAUUUAACCUCUCGUAGCUUAAUUCAGAAAAUGAUCACUUCAACAGUUCAAACAAUAAUUUUUGAAAAUAGUAGUAGCUACAUAAUUUUUAGAUUAUAAAGCUGAUUCUCCUUAAUAAAUUCCAAAAGAAAUUCCAAGAAAUCUCAAAUGGUUAAACUCCUUGAAAUGUUUGAAAAAAUCUGUAGAACUGAUGUGCUAAUGAAAUACAUACAAUGUAUAAUUUACAAACGGAAAAAAGUAACAAAAUGUUUUCACCUACAUCUAGAAUAUGAAAAAUCUUUAAAACAUACAACAUCUAUGAAAUGAUCUGAGAACAAAUGACUAAUGUUUGACACAUAAUAACAAAUAUCUAAUAUAAGUUGGUAUAAAAUAUUUAUAAUGUAAAGAUCAUCUGACAGACAAAUUGUACAUUAUUUACAAACUGAAUAAACAUUUCACAAAUAAAACAGGAUUUUGUACAACUUAAAGGUAAAUUUUUAAUAAUUUCUACUAAUUGGUAUCUACUAUGGUAUGUUAUUUGCUAAAAACACCGAGGACUCAUUUAUAGUUCAAUUUAUAUGAGGGCAAAAUGUCAUUCAGCAUCACAACACCCCCUUUCUCUACUUUUACAUCCAAACAGGCUUAAUAACAGUUAAACAUUUACUAUAAAUUUCAAAUAGGAUUCUCUGAAACACAAAAAAUCUUUUUUUCAAACACUUCAAAAUUACAAAACAAAACAAAUAUUCAACAGCAGGUUUGUUUUGAAACUACAUAUUUAACUUUUACUUUAUAAUAUGUAUUUCAAUGAUCAAUUUGACUAGUAAAAUGGUAGACUGCUAUUUACUUCAAGACAGCAGAAUACACAAAUUUAUGUAAUAACUUUCAUUUGUUAAAACAAUUUGCAUAAAUGCACAGUUUCUUGUAACAGUUUUAAGAUUUUAUAUCUUUAUGUUGUCUGAUAUACCUUGAAUGUUUACAUGUCCCAAAUUUCAACCAGUCACAGGCAAAGUUAACAUAUAUAACAUCCAACAUAUGUCAAACUAUAAAAAAAAAUUUGAAAACUAUGAACUAUAAAUGAGUCCUUAGUACUAUGACAUAUGGAAUUCUAUUAAAACUGAGCAACUAUAUCAAUCUAUAAGACAUUUACAAUAGAUAUUCCAGCACAAAACAUUUCAAACAAACAACAGAGUACAAUACUUCAUAUAAUUAUGCAAUGGAAUAAAACUGCAAACAUAUCAAAUUGUCAUUCCUCAGAAAUAAAUACUCACACAAGCAUUGUACAGCAAAAAGCCUGUGCAGAUUAAUGUACAUAAUGGUGCUGUUAUUGACAGGUUCUUGCCCAAAUUCAGAUAUCAGAAGGACUGUGAGGAUAUUGCCCAAAUUCAGAUAUCAGAAGGACUGUGGGUAUAUUGCCCAAAUUCAGAUAUUGCAGGACUGUAAGGUUCUUAUCCAAAUUUAGAUAUUACAGGAUUGUAAGGUUCUUGUCCAAAUUUAGAUAUUACAGGACAGUACGGUUCUUGUCCAAAUUUAGAUAUUAUAGGACUGUAAGGUUCUUAUCCAAAUUUAGAUAUGACAGGACUGUACGGUUCUUGUCCAAAUUUAAUUAUUACAGGACUGUACGGUUCUUGCCCAAAUUCAGAUAUUGCAGGUAAGGUUCUUAUCCAAAUUUAGAUACAGGAUUGUAAGGUUCUUGUCCAAAUUUAGAUUUUACAGGACUGUAAGGUUCUUGUCCAAAUUUAGAUAUUACAGGACUGUAAGGUUCUUGUCCAAAUUUAGAUAUUACAGGACUGUACGGUUCUUGUCCAAAUUUAGAUAUUACAGAUCUGUACG